UACAGAGGGUGCGAGCGUUGUCCGGAAUCACUGGGCGUAAAGGGCGCGUAGGUGGCCCGACAAGUCACUGGUGAAAGCUCGACGCUCAACGUCGAGUCGGCCAGUGAUACUGUUGGGCUGGAGCACUGUAGAGGCUCAUGGAAUUCCCGGUGUAGUGGUGGAAUGCGUAGAUAUCGGGAAGAACACCAGUGGCGAAAGCGGCUCUCUGGGGACCACCUGACGCUGAGGCGCGAAAGCGUGGGGAGCGAACCGG
rnacentral:rRNA from 1 species